GGCAGUUCUCGGGUGACGAACCCAGGAAUCGGGCUCCCUCCUUCCUUGUUCUGGGUGCAUCACCUUAGAACCAAA
rfam:Myotis lucifugus cont2.60462, whole genome shotgun sequence.